CAGUCGUGGGGGAUAACGCAGCGAAAGCUGUGCUAAUACCGCAUACGAUCUGCGGAUGAAAGCGGGGGACCUUCGGGCCUCGCGCGAUUGGAGCGGCCGAUGUCAGAUUAGGUAGUUGGUGGGGUAAAGGCCCACCAAGCCGACGAUCUGUAGCUGGUCUGAGAGGACGACCAGCCACACUGGGACUGAUUUUUUUGCCCAGACUCCUACGGGAGGCAGCAGUGGG
rnacentral:rRNA from 1 species